AAAAACUCAGAAGACCAUGGACCACUCCUGCCACUCGUUGUAAGAAAGAUGAUCAUAAAUCCAAUCUGAUAUUAGUUCUGUAAACCUAAAUUUUUGUCCUAAUCUAUAAUACCAACAAAUUUAGGUCGACAAAAAAAAUCAAUACGAAGAGAUCAUGCUUAAUUUUAUAAAUGGCUGACCUCAGGGAAAAAUGUUGCGAGGAUUGGGGAAAAAUUGUUGCACAUCAAUCUUUCUUCAUGACGAAAAUGAUGCCCACCUAUCUUGCUUACAAAAUGAUAUAUUUUACGAUUGGUGUAGGGUCAUAUGCAUUAUCACUUCUUCUCAAUUUUAUGCUGUUUUUUUCAUAUGAUCAGAGAUAAAUUGUGCCUCUGUUAUGAUAGGAUACAUACAUUUUAAUAUUAGUUAUACACUCAGCAAUAUUUAUUGUUUCAAACAUAGUCUCUCAGAUUAGCGCUACACUUUCCUAUGAUUCCAUUGCUUUGUUCGCCUUUGAUUAAUUAUUGUUUGUUCGAUCAUAUUGGUUGACGUGGAAUACAAAACAGUCAGGGGUCUUCUUUGUGAAAUGAGUUCAUUCGAACACAGCCUAAUUGGGUUACAGUUCUUUGAUGGGAUUCAGGAAGGCACAUAUGAAUGGUGCAUAGAAUUUAUCUAAUUUAUCUAAAUGCUCCAAAACACUACUUUGUGCAAUAUUUUUUGGUACAGCACCAAUUCUCCUUUAUGUUCACCGUUCUUCUUGUUGAGCAAGCAUUUAGAGGUGCCAUCUCCCAGCUUCGAAGCUAAUUUUUGAUGCAAGGUUUGGCU
rnacentral:lncRNA from 1 species